UGUAUCUGAGCUGGACAUGUCCUCUCUUCUCCACUAACCCCACUACCCCAUACUGUAUCUGAGCUGGACAGCUUCCAGAGAUCUGGCUGAUGGACAAAACUAGUACUCUGCAUACAUACGACUGACGGAACGGACGGAGACAGAAAAGACAAGACGGGGACGGACGGUAAGACAGGAAUCCACAACCAGCUGUGACCACCCCGGAGCUUCUUGUUCUGGUGCCUCUACAGCAAAAUGUCAAAAUCAAGCAUUUUGACCUGCAAAUCACCAACACUACUCUGGAGGUCUGUCUAAUCCACAACACAACUCUGGAGGGACUGUCUAAUCCACAACACAACUCUGGAGGGUCUGUCUAAUCCACAACACAACUCUGGAGGGACUGUCUAGUCCGCAACACAACUCUGGAGGGACUGUCUAAU